rnacentral:rRNA from 1 species
GGAGGUAUCAGAAGUGCGAAUGCUGACAUAAGUAACGAUAAAGCGGGUGAAAAGCCCGCUCGCCGGAAGACCAAGGGUUCCUGUCCAACGUUAAUCGGGGCAGGGUGAGUCGACCCCUAAGGCGAGGCCGAAAGGCGUAGUCGAUGGGAAACAGGUUAAUAUUCCUGUACUUGGUGUUACUGCGAAGGGGGGACGGAGAAGGCUAUGUUGGCCGGGCGACGGUUGUCCCGGUUUAAGCGUGUAGGCUGGUUUUCCAGGCAAAUCCGGAAAAUCAAGGCUGAGGCGUGAUGACGAGGCACUACGGUGCUGAAGCAACAAAUGCCCUGCUUCCAGGAAAAGCCUCUAAGCAUCAGGUAACAUCAAAUCGUACCCCAAACCGACACAGGUGGUCAGGUAGAGAAUACCAAGGCGCUUGAGAGAACUCGGGUGAAGGAACUAGGCAAAAUGGUGCCGUAACUUCGGGAGAAGGCACGCUGAUAUGUAGGUGAAGUCCCUCGCGGAUGGAGCUGAAAUCAGUCGAAGAUACCAGCUGGCUGCAACUGUUUAUUAAAAACACAGCACUGUGCAAACACGAAAGUGGACGUAUACGGUGUGACGCCUGCCCGGUGCCGGAAGGUUAAUUGAUGGGGUCAGCGCAAGCGAAGCUCUUGAUCGAAGCCCCGGUAAACGGCGGCCGUAACUAUAACGGUCCUAAGGUAGCGAAAUUCCUUGUCGGGUAAGUUCCGACCUGCACGAAUGGCGUAAUGAUGGCCAGGCUGUCUCCACCCGAGACUCAGUGAAAUUGAACUCGCUGUGAAGAUGCAGUGUACCCGCGGCAAGACGGAAAGACCCCGUGAACCUUUACUAUAGCUUGACACUGAACAUUGAGCCUUGAUGUGUAGGAUAGGUGGGAGGCUUUGAAGUGUGGACGCCAGUCUGCAUGGAGCCGACCUUGAAAUACCACCCUUUAAUGUUUGAUGUUCUAACGUGGACCCGUGAUCCGGGUUGCGGACAGUGUCUGGUGGGUAGUUUGACUGGGGCGGUCUCCUCCUAAAGAGUAACGGAGGAGCACGAAGGUUGGCUAAUCCUGGUCGGACAUCAGGAGGUUAGUGCAAUGGCAUAAGCCAGCUUGACUGCGAGCGUGACGGCGCGAGCAGGUGCGAAAGCAGGUCAUAGUGAUCCGGUGGUUCUGAAUGGAAGGGCCAUCGCUCAACGGAUAAAAGGUACUCCGGGGAUAACAGGCUGAUACCGCCCAAGAGUUCAUAUCGACGGCGGUGUUUGGCACCUCGAUGUCGGCUCAUCACAUCCUGGGGCUGAAGUAGGUCCCAAGGGUAUGGCUGUUCGCCAUUUAAAGUGGUACGCGAGCUGGGUUUAGAACGUCGUGAGACAGUUCGGUCCCUAUCUGCCGUGGGCGCUGGAGAACUGAGGGGGGCUGCUCCUAGUACGAGAGGACCGGAGUGGACGCAUCACUGGUGUUCGGGUUGUCAUGCCAAUGGCACUGCCCGGUAGCUAAAUGCGGAAGAGAUAAGUGCUGAAAGCAUCUAAGCACGAAACUUGCCCCGAGAUGAGUUCU